UCUUAUGAAUGAACAAAGAAAGUGGUUUCUUAAGAUGGAAUCUAGUCCAAUGAAGAUGUUGUGAA
rnacentral:pre_miRNA from 1 species